rnacentral:snRNA from 1 species
GUGCUUCAACAGCACAUAUACAAAAAUUGGAAUGAUACAUGAAAGAUUAGCAUGGCCCCUGUGCAAGGAUUACAUGCAAAUUCAUGUUUAAAAAAUAAAU